UAUUAUCAUAACCCCUAUUAAGCGGACACCCCUCUUUAACGGACGCGGACACCUUACUUGAGGACCCAAUGGGCAAACCAACGUCUCUUAAGCGGACAGAUGACAGAUUGUCUGAUAAAAUGUAUUCAAUAUUCGACAGUAAAUAACAAUUGAGAUGAAUUUACAUGGCACAUUGACAGUGACACACCAACUUGGAGAAUUCGCACAAUUUCGAGGUUUGGAAGAACUUUCCAACACCAUUUUUAUGUAAAUGACAUUGUAAUGGGCUAUCGUCUGCGUGAGCCUCGGCAGCAAAUUUGUAUUGAUUCCUUUUUAUAUGACUGUGAGAGACUUAUACAUUUUCUAAUAAACUUUUAUGCACAAAGAAAUUUUCAUUUUAUGCUAGUUAUUUGCUAGAUA
rnacentral:lncRNA from 1 species